GUGCUCAUUUUAGCAGUACAUAUACUAAAAAACUGGAAUGAUACAGAGAAGAUUAGCAUGGCCCCUGCACAAGGAUGUCACAAAUUUGUGAAGCAUUUUAAUAGAUU
ensembl:snRNA U6 U6 spliceosomal RNA